ensembl:misc_RNA Metazoa_SRP Metazoan signal recognition particle RNA
GCUGGGCAUAUUGGCACAUGCCUGUAAUCCCAGCUACUCAGGAGGCUGAGGCAGGAUAAUCGCUUGAACCCAGGAGGCGGAGGUUGCGGUGAGCCGAGAUCACGCCACUGCACUCCAACCUGGGUGACAGAGUGAGACUCUGUCUCAA